CUCUCAUGGUCUGGGAACUACAACCCCCGGCGGGCCAAGGGACGCACCCGGCUGUGAUUACUAGUGAACGGGGAGAUUGCCUCAGCUGACAAUAAACGUGCUUUGGUGUCUGGGAGGUCUGGUUCCUCAGAGAGAGAGGGGAAAAAUUGUAAUCACUCCUUUGAGGGGAUCACCUGGGUCACUCGUGGAUUUCCAGAGUCUGCUUGGCGUAGUCAUGGCGGAAAGAAAAGGAACAGCCAAAGUAGACUAUUUGAAGAAGAUUGAGAAAGAAGUCCAACAGAAAUGGGAAACUGAGAAAGUGUUUGAGGUAAAUGCAUGUGACUUGGAGAAGCAGCCCAGCAAGGGCAAGUACUUUGUAACCUUCCCAUAUCCGUAUAUGAAUGGACGCCUUCAUUUGGGGCACACUUUUUCUCUAUCCAAGAGUGAGUUUGCAGUAGGGUACCAGAGAUUGAAAGGAAAAUGCUGUCUGUUUCCUUUUGGCUUACAUUGCACUGGGAUGCCUAUUAAGGCAUGUGCUGAUAAAUUGAAGAGAGAAAUUGAACUGUAUGGUUGCCCCCCUGAUUUUCCAGAUGAAGAAGAAGAGGAGGAAGAAAUCAGUGUUAAAGCAGAAAAUGUAGUUAAGGAUAAAGCUAAAGGGAAAAAGAGUAAAGCUGCUGCUAAAGCUGGAUCUUCUAAAUACCAGUGGGGUAUUAUGCAAUCCCUUGGACUGCCUGAUGAAGAGAUUGUAAAGUUUUCUGAAGCAGAGCACUGGCUUGAUUAUUUCCCACCACUGGCUAUUCAGGAUCUAAAGAGAAUAGGUUUGAAGGUAGACUGGCGUCGUUCCUUCAUUACCACUGAUGUUAAUCCUUACUAUGACUCAUUUGUCAGGUGGCAAUUUUUAACUUUAAGAGAAAGAAACAAAAUUAAAUUUGGAAAGCGGUAUACUAUUUAUUCUCCAAAAGAUGGACAGCCUUGCAUGGAUCAUGACAGACAAACUGGAGAGGGUGUUGGACCUCAGGAAUAUACUUUACUGAAAUUGAAAGUGCUUGAGCCAUAUCCAUCUAAAUUGAGUGGCCUCAAAGGUAAAAGUAUCUUCUUAGUAGCUGCUACUCUCAGACCUGAGACUAUGUUUGGACAGACAAACUGCUGGGUUCGUCCUGAUAUGAAGUACAUUGGAUUUGAGACAGCGAAUGGUGAUAUUUUCAUCUGCACCCAGAGAGCAGCCAGAAAUAUGUCGUACCAAGGCUUCACCAGAGUUAAUGGAGUGGUGCCUGUUGUUAAGGAAUUAAUGGGGGAGGAAAUUCUGGGUGCGUCCCUUUCUGCGCCUUUAACUUCCUAUGACGUGAUCUAUGUUCUCCCAAUGCUCACCAUUAAGGAGGAUAAAGGCACUGGUGUGGUCACAAGUGUUCCUUCUGAUGCCCCUGAUGAUAUUGCUGCCCUCAGAGACUUGAAGAAAAAGCAAGCCCUUAGAGCAAAAUAUGGAAUUACAGAUGACAUGGUUUUGCCAUUUGAACCGGUGCCAGUUAUUGAGAUCCCAGGCCUUGGCAGUCUUUCUGCUGUAACCAUUUGCGAUGAGUUGAAAAUUCAGAGCCAGAAUGACCGAGAAAAACUUGCAGAAGCAAAGGAGAAAUUAUAUCUAAAAGGAUUUUAUGAAGGUGUAAUGUUGGUGGACGGAUUUAAAGGACAGAAAGUCCAAGAUGUGAAGAAGACUAUCCAGAAAAAGAUGAUUGAUGCGGGAGAUGCGUACAUUUACAUGGAACCAGAGAAACAAGUAAUGUCCAGGUCUUCAGAUGAAUGUGUGGUGGCUCUAUGUGACCAAUGGUACUUGGAUUAUGGAGAAGAGAACUGGAAAAAACAGACAUCCCAGUGCUUGAAGAAUGUGGAGACAUUCUGUGAGGAGACCAGGAGGAAUUUUGAAGCUUCCUUAGAUUGGCUACAGGAACAUGCUUGCUCCAGAACUUAUGGUUUAGGCACUCACCUGCCCUGGGAUGAGCAGUGGCUAAUUGAGUCUCUCUCGGACUCCACAAUUUACAUGGCCUUUUACACAGUUGCACACCUGUUACAGGGGGGUGACUUGCGGGGACAGGCAGAGUCCCCUUUGGCGAUAAGACCACAACAAAUGACUAAGGAAGUUUGGGAUUAUAUUUUCUUCAAGGAUGCUCUGUUUCCUAAGACUCAGAUCCCAAAGGAAAAAUUAGAUCAAUUAAAGCAGGAGUUUGAGUUCUGGUAUCCUGUGGAUCUUCGAGUCUCUGGCAAGGAUCUUAUUCCGAAUCAUCUUUCAUAUUACCUUUAUAAUCAUGUGGCUAUGUGGACAGAACAAAGUGACAAAUGGCCCAAAGCUGUGAGAGCAAAUGGACAUCUCCUCCUCAACUCUGAGAAGAUGUCAAAAUCCACAGGCAACUUCCUCACUUUGGCCCAAGCUGUUGACAAAUUUUCAGCUGAUGGAAUGCGUCUGGCUCUGGCUGAUGCCGGUGAUACUGUUGAAGAUGCCAACUUUGUGGAAGCCAUGGCAGAUGCAGGUAUUCUCCGUCUGUACACCUGGGUGGAAUGGGUGAAAGAAAUGGUGGCCAACUGGGACAGCCUAAGGAGUGGUCCUGCCAGCACUUUCAAUGAUAGAGUUUUUGCCAGUGAAAUGAAUGCAGGAAUUAUAAAAACAGAUCAAAACUAUGAAAAAAUGAUGUUUAAAGAAGCUUUGAAAACAGGGUUUUUUGAGUUUCAGGCCUCAAAAGAUAAGUACCGUGAAUUGGCGAUAGAAGGGAUGCACAGAGAACUCGUGUUCCGGUUUAUUGAAAUUCAGACCCUUCUCUUGGCUCCAUUCUGUCCACACUUAUGUGAGCACAUCUGGACACUCCUGGGAAAGUCUGACUCAAUCAUGAAUGCUUCAUGGCCUGUGGCGGGUCCUGUGGAUGAAAUCUUGAUUCGUUCCUCACAGUAUCUCACGGAAGUAGCACAUGACCUUAGAUUACGACUCAAGAAUUAUAUGAUGCCAGCUAAAGGGAAGAAGACUGAGAAGCAGCCACCUCAGAGGCCUUCACACUGCACCAUUUAUGUGGCAAAGAAUUACCCGCCUUGGCAGCACACUACCCUGUCGGUUCUGCGAAACCACUUUGAGGCCAACAAUGGAAGAUUGCCUGAUAACAAAGUCAUUGCUAGUGAACUAGGUAAUAUGCCAGAAUUGAAGAAAUAUAUGAAGAAAGUGAUGCCAUUUGUUGCUAUGGUUAAGGAAAAUGUGGAGAAGAUGGGGCCUCGUGUUCUGGAUUUGCAAUUGGAAUUUGAUGAACAGGCAGUGCUUAUGGAAAAUAUAGUCUACCUGACUAAUUCCCUUGAGCUAGAACACAUAGAAGUCAAGUUUGCCUCUGAAGCAGAAGAUAAAGUCAGAGAAGACUGUUGUCCUGGGAAACCACUUAAUGUUUUUAGAAUGGAACCUGGUGUGCCAGUUUCUCUAGUAAAUCCCCAGCCAUCCAGUGGUCACUUCUCAACCAAAAUUGAAAUCAGGCAAGGGGAUAACUGUGAUUCUAUAAUCAGGCGUUUAAUGAAAGCAGAGCGAGGAAUCAAAGACCUUUCCAAAGUGAAACUGAUGAGAUUUGAUGAUCCACUGUUGGGGCCGCGGCGAGUUCCUGUCCUGGGAAAAGAAUACACGGAGAAGACUCCCAUUUCUGAGCAUGCUGUUUUCCAUGUGGAUCUCACAAGCAAGAAAAUUCAUCUCACAGAAAAUGGGCUACGGGCAGAUAUCGGCGAUACAAUUAUAUAUCUGGUUCAUUAAACUCAUGGAAACUGAAGAUUUGCCAAGUUGGACCAGUAGUCUGGAGAUUGAAGCAAGGCCCCUGCUGCCUCUCAGCCAUAGAAUGGCAGAAAUCUGCAGCUUCUGAAACUUCCAGUGAAAGAUCGAGUGACAGUUACACUUGCCUGGUUAAAUGCUUACUAGAGGACCCACGCACCGGCCCGCCCCGUAGUGAAGCAGCCUGUCCGCGGAGCCAG